rnacentral:rRNA from 1 species
CUGGCUCAGGAUGAACGCUAGCUACAGGCUUAACACAUGCAAGUCGAGGGGCAGCAUUGGGAUAGCUUGCUAUUCAGAUGGCGACCGGCGCACGGGUGAGUAACGCGUAUCCAACCUUCCUGCCAGUAGGGAACAGCCCGGCGAAAGUCGGAUUAAUGCCCUAUGUUCUUCAAUGCGGACAUCUAAGUUGAAGGAAAGAUUCAUCGCUGGCAGAUGGGGAUGCGUCCGAUUAGCUUGCCGGCGGGGUAACGGCCACCGGGGCGACGAUCGGUAGGGGUUCUGAGAGGAAGGUCCCCCACACUGGUACUGAGACACGGACCAGACUCCUACGGGAGGCAGCAGUGAGGAAUAUUGGUCAAUGGGCGUAAGCCUGAACCAGCCAAGUAGCGUGCAAGGACGACGGCCCUACGGGUUGUAAACUGCUUUUAUGCGGGGAUAAAGUGCGGCACGUGUGCCGCUUUGCAGGUACCGCAUGAAUAAGGACCGGCUAAUUCCGUGCCAGCCGCAGC